AAUCAACGCUGGCGGCGUGCCUCAGACAUGCAAGUCGAACGAUUAAAGCUCCCUUCGGGGAGUGCAUAAAGUGGCGCACGGGUGAGUAACACGUAAGUAAUCUACCUUCGAGUGGGGAAUAACGUUCGGAAACGAACGCUAAUACCGCAUAAUGCAGCGGCAUCUAUGAUGACAGUUGUUAAAGAUUUAUCGCUUGAAGAGGAGCUUGCGGCAGAUUAGCUAGUUGGUAAGGUAAUGGCUUACCAAGGCUACGAUCUGUAUCCGGUCUAAGAGGACGGUCGGACACACUGACACUGAAUAACGGGUCAGACUCCUACGGGAGGCAGCAGUCGGGAAUUUUGGGCAAUGGGCGAAAGCCUGACCCAGCAACGCCGCGUGAAGGAUGUAAGUUUUUCGGAAUGUAAACUUACGUUAAGAAUAGGAAGAAUAAAUGACGGUACUAUUUGUAAGGUCCGGCUAACUACGUGCC
rnacentral:rRNA from 1 species